AGUAAAUAAUAAAAUAAAUGAAACUCGAAAAUAAAGAAUAUAAGAAUCUGAUUUAACUAACUUUAUUCUUAAAAAGCAUUUAGCAAUACUAAGAUGGAUUGCCCCAACAGUAUCAAUCUCAAAAUCAGUUAUAGACUAUUCAUUUUGACUCAGGCUCCAUUUGGCAUUGAAUUUCAUUGUUAAAAAGCGCUUUUCGGAAAAAACAGUAUUUUGGAAUAUGAAGAUAGAGUAGUAACUAAUAAUAUAUACCUCUGGUGGGAUUCUUGUCCUUG
rnacentral:misc_RNA from 1 species